rnacentral:tRNA from 2 species
GGGGCUAUAGCUCAGCUGGGAGAGCGCUUCGCUGGCAGCGAAGAGGUCAGGAGUUCGAUCCUCCUUAGCUCCACCA